rnacentral:tRNA from 1 species
AGCUUUAUAAUCUAAUUUUAGGAUUUUAAAUUGCAAAUUUAAAUGUGGGGGGAGAAACCCUAAGGCUU